UGCUAUUCAAUUAUGUGGUAUUUUACCUCCCAGACCGGCAUAUACCAUUCGUAUGAGAAAUGCACAAAUCCUUUGUUUCAGAUCCUAGGUGGCCGCCAUUUUGGGACUUUUGCACGUGUUCGCCGCCAUCUUAACGCACGAACAGCGGUGAUUUGCCGUCGAGUGUCUGGAACUAAAAUCGGACACUCGAGUAGGCGAACACCGCUGAAACCUCC